AUUGAACGCUGGCGGCAUGCUUUACACAUGCAAGUCGAACGGUAACAGGCCUUCGGGCGCUGACGAGUGGCGAACGGGUGAGUAAUGCAUCGGAACGUGCCCAGUCGUGGGGGAUAGCGCAGCGAAAGCUGUGCUAAUACCGCAUACGAUCUGCGGAUGAAAGUGGGGGACCUUCGGGCCUCGCGCGAUUGGAGCGGCCGAUGUCAGAUUAGGUAGUUGGUGGGGUAAAGGCUCACCAAGCCAACGAUCUGUAGCUGGUCUGAGAGGACGACCAGCCACACUGGGACUGAGACACGGCCCAGACUCCUACGGGAGGCAGCAGUGGGGAAUUUUGGACAAUGGGCGCAAGCCUGAUCCAGCAAUGCCGCGUGCAGGAAGAAGGCCUUCGGGUUGUAAACUGCUUUUGUACGGAGCGAAAAGGCUCCCUCUAAUACAGGGGGCUCAUGACGGUACCGUAAGAAUAAGCACCGGCUAACUACGUGCCAGCCGCCGCGGUAAUAC
rnacentral:rRNA from 1 species